rnacentral:rRNA from 1 species
GACCUCAAUCAGGNGGAGCCCCA